GACGAACGCUGGCGGCGUGCUUAACACAUGCAAGUGGAGCGACGAACCAGGCUUCGGCCUGGGGCAGAGCCGCGAACGGGUGAGUAACACGUGGGUAACCCACCCCGAUGACCGGGACAACCCGAGGAAACUCGGGCUAAUACCGGAUGUACCGCUCUCUCAUGAGGGAGAACGGGAAAGAUAGCUUCGGCCUUCGCAUCGGGACGGGCCCGCGGCGCAUUAGCUUGUGGGUGGGGUAAAGGCCUACCAAGGCGACGAUGCGUAGCUGGUCUGGGGGGCCGACCAGCCACGCUGGGACUGAGACACGGCCAGACUCCUCCGGUAGGGAGUAGUGGGGAAUCUUGCGCAAGGCGCGAAGGCGGGACGCAGCAACGCCGCGUGGGGGAAGAAGGCCUUCGGGUUGUAAACCCCUUUCAGUUGGGACGAAGCUUCCGCGGUUAACAGCCGCGUGGAGUGACGGUACCUUCACAAGAAGCCCCGGCUAGCUACGUGCCAGCAGCCGCCGUAAGAC
rnacentral:rRNA from 1 species